AAGUUCCUAAAAGAAACAGCGUGAGCUGAGGGCCAGGGCCCGCCCCAGCUGGCGCGUCCCCGACUGUCUGCUGCCCUUCACCGAGUGCUCGCAGAGGCCCCGGAGGGACAGGUGUCCUCGGAAGAGACAGAAGGGAAGACGCAGGCACAGAACGGCCGUGUGAAGCCAGAGGCCGAGUUGUGCAGACACAAGCCAGGGACGCCGGGGCCACCGGUGGCUGGAAGCAGGAGGACGGAUUCCCUCUAGAACCUUCCGAGGGAGCCCCGUCCUGCCGGCGCCUGAAUCUGGGACUUCUGGCCUCUUCUGAGAGAGAAUAAAUGUUUGGUGUUCUAA